rnacentral:rRNA from 1 species
AGUUGCGAACGGGUGAGUAACGCGUAGGUAACCUGCCUUGUAGCGGGGGAUAACUAUUGGAAACGAUAGCUAAUACCGCAUAACAGCUUUUGACACAUGUUAGAAGCUUGAAAGAUGCAAUUGCAUCACUACGAGAUGGACCUGCGUUGUAUUAGCUAGUAGGUAGGGUAACGGCCUACCUAGGCGACGAUACAUAGCCGACCUGAGAGGGUGAUCGGCCACACUGGGACUGAGACACGGCCCAGACUCCUACGGGAGGCAGCAGUAGGGAAUCUUCGGCAAUGGGGGCAACCCUGACCGAGCAACGCCGCGUGAGUGAAGAAGGUUUUCGGAUCGUAAAGCUCUGUUGUAAGAGAAGAACGUGUGUGAGAGUGGAAAGUUCACACAGUGACGGUAACUUACCAGAAAGGGACGGCUAACUACGUGCCAGCAGCCGCGGUAAUACGUAGGUCCCGAGCGUUGUCCGGAUUUAUUGGGCGUAAAGCGAGCGCAGGCGGUUUAAUAAGUCUGAAGUUAAAGGCAGUGGCUUAACCAUUGUUCGCUUUGGAAACUGUUAAACUUGAGUGCAGAAGGGGAGAGUGGAAUUCCAUGUGUAGCGGUGAAAUGCGUAGAUAUAUGGAGGAACACCGGUGGCGAAAGCG